rnacentral:lncRNA from 1 species
UUUCUGCUUUUUCUUUCUUUUACAUAUAUCUUUUGGUUUACAAUUCUAGUGUUUAUAUUCAUUUACCAUGCAUAGAUGUAUUUUUUCACCUGCUUGGAUUUAUUUUGUAAUUGACCGCCAAACCCGGAAUUACCCUUAUUCGCUUCCGGAAUCGGAUCCGAUAUUGUAAAUUUGUGUCUUUACGGCCGCCAUUGUUAUGUGUUUACAAUGUUGUUUUUGUCAAUCAGAUACGAUUUUACUCGAAUUUAUACAAUAUUUAUCGGCGAUUUUCUGUAUAAAGCUAGCGGUUGAACAAAAUGAACAUCGCUGUCAUGAAUAAUAAUGAUAAAAAUAAGUUUUUAGCUCGUUUAAUUGGAGACUUUGGUGAACAUGGUGAAAAGGUUUGCAAAGUUAAUUCUUAUUUUCUUUCAAGUGGAAAGUGACUACGUCGGGCGUAGCUAGAAACCAUCUAUCCUAGUCGAAAUUCCGCUUGCAAAAGUGGAAUGUCGCGGACCUCGGACCAACGCUAAUUUGCACACCUGCCUCCAAAUUGAAAAGAUACGAAAAUUUCUUUUUCUAAUUUGAAAUUGCCGCCAACAGCAUGAACAGUCGAACUUAUUAUAUAAUAGACUACUGACGUAGUUGUACUACGUAUUGAUGACAAACAAUAUUCCUACGACUUUUGCCAUUUGGGAAAAUACUUGUCUUAAGAGAUUUUCGGCGAUUAAAUAUUUCAUACAAUUGUUCUUUGACAUCUUGGCCAAAAGCACAAGUCAUAAUGAACUACACAAGGAUUCUUAAUAAGCACUACUUCCUAUGUGUAACUUCAAAACUUUUGGAUAAAUCGCCGAUCGUUUAAGGUUUUUCUGGUCAUAUUUUUUGUAAUCCAGAAUAAAAAGUAUUAAAAAAGUGUUCAAUUAGUUAUAUAUAACAUAGUAGCAGCUAGAUAAUAACAAUGGCAAGUAUUUCAGCAUUUAUUGGGUAGAACACAAAUCUAGGGUGCUCGCAUAAUGCAGCUUAACUGCAUAAAAACAACUUCAGAGGGGUCAUAUUAUCAACAAUCCUUACAUAGGUCAAAGCCAGUUGAAACAUGUGAAAGGCAGAGAAAGAGACCAAGGUCAAGGUUUCAGAUGGAAGAUGUCCCGCAAGCAGAGAAGAUACUAAAUGUAAAUUUGUUUAAUCCACAUAUUGGUUAUAAAUUUCACCUAGGACUAUGCACAAGAUCUGAGGGAAUGGGAAAUUUUCUGUUUGGUGAUGAUUUCUCUGAGAGUCUUUAAAAAGAUAUAAACAACACUCAGAAGAUUCAAGGUUUAAUGAAUAAAACCCCAAAAAAAAUCAGAGGCCAGGGACCAGGGUCGUAUUAUCCGAUAAGCCCUUUUAGAGGUCAAAGCCAGUUGAGAGGAAGAGGCCAAGGUCAAGCCUUUGAACAGAGUGAGAAUGUCUGGCAAGUAAAGAAGAUAAUCAAGAUAAAUGUUAAACCAUAGGCUUGUUCUUUACAACUUUAUGCUUCUGAAAGGAAACAAAAUAUUUCUGACAAUUGGGUCCUUAAUUCAGUUUAAUUAGGGUACACCUAUCCAGAGAGGUUUGCCUAAGCCAAGAAAUGUUUCAAAAGAAGAAGCCCAUCUUAUUGACAUUGAAGUUUAAGAAUUAUU